GAUGAACGCUAGCGAUAGGCUUAACACAUGCAAGUCGAGGGGCAGCAUGGUCUUAGCUUGCUAAGACUGAUGGCGACCGGCGCACGGGUGCGUAACGCGUAUGCAACUUGCCUCACAGAGGGGGAUAACCCGUCGAAAGACGGACUAAUACCGCGUACACUUGGGAUAGGGCAUCCUGACCCAAGGAAAUGAAAUUCGCUGUGAGAUAGGCAUGCGUCCCAUUAGCUAGUUGGUGAGGUAACGGCUCACCAAGGCGACGAUGGGUAGGGGAACUGAGAGGUUGAACCCCCACACUGGUACUGAGACACGGACCAGACUCCUACGGGAGGCAGCAGUGAGGAAUAGUGGUCAAUGGGCGAGAGCCUGAACCAGCCAAGUCGCGUGAAGGAUGACUGUCUUAUGGAUUGUAAACUUCUUUUAUACGGGAAUAACAAGAGCCACGUGUGGCUCCCUGCAUGUACCGUAUGAAUAAGCAUCGGCUAACUCCGUG
rnacentral:rRNA from 1 species